rnacentral:lncRNA from 1 species
UUUGUUUCUAAAUAGAAAACUAUUUGCUGAAGUCAAUAUAUUGAAAACCAAAGUCCCAAAUUCUCUCUCGUGCGUACCUGGCCAUCCUAAACCUUACUGGUAGCCGGAGAAUGGCGUAAAACGGCAGCGAUCUUCUUCUUCAUCUUAUUCUCUCUCUCAUCGUUUCAGGUAAGCUUGUGAUUAUGAGUUUCUUCUCUUUCUUAGCUUGUAAUUAUAGGUUUUGAUUUCUUUACUUCGUAUUGUAACCAUUAAUGUCAAUUUUUGUCCCGCCGGCAAUAUUUCUUGUUCCUAGAAGUUGAAGCCCUUCUGUUCUUGUUCCAUUGGUGACUUUGCUCACUCAAAUUAAUUUUGUUCUGCGGAAUUUACAAAGUUCAAAUGGAUUCAUUUGAAUUACUAUUGAAUUUAGCUUUAAUUUCAACAUCCAUUCUAAUGUUUUACAAUCAUGUAUU